rnacentral:rRNA from 1 species
CACGUAGGCGGACCGGAAAGUUGGGGGUGAAAUCCCGGGGCUCAACCCCGGAACUGCCUUCAAAACUAUCGGUCUGGAGUUCGAGAGAGGUGAGUGGAAUUCCGAGUGUAGAGGUGAAAUUCGUAGAUAUUCGGAGGAACACCAGUGGCGAAGGCGGCUCACUGGCUCGAUACUGACGCUGAGGUGCGAAAGCGUGGGGAGCAAACAG